CCCGGUAAACGGCGGCCGUAACUAUAACGGUCCUAAGGUAGCGAAAUUCCUUGUCGGGUAAGUUCCGACCUGCACGAAUGGCGUAAUGAUGGCCAGGCUGUCUCCACCCGAGACUCAGUGAAAUUGAACUCGCUGUGAAGAUGCAGUGUACCCGCGGCAAGACGGAAAGACCCCGUGAACCUUUACUAUAGCUUGACACUGAACAUUGAGCCUUGAUGUGUAGGAUAGGUGGGAGGCUUUGAAGCGUGGACGCCAGUCUGCGUGGAGCCAACCUUGAAAUACCACCCUUUAAUGUUUGAUG
rnacentral:rRNA from 1 species